GGGGGGUGUCACACGUCGAGUUAGCUGCAAGCAGGUCCUGGAGCCUAAUGCUUGAUCGCCAGCCAGGAGUUACAGCCCCUGUGCCGCGCUGCGCCCUCCACUUGCCCGCGUUAAUUGGACAAGAUUCUCGACGGCUGGAGUGCCGCGCGUUCCUCUGCUUCCCCCAAUGGCGCCUGGCGCCCUAAGAGCAUGCAUACCUCCCCUUCAAUGCUGGAAGUGUGCCCUUUAUUGAGGUCCCCAGAACAGCUGAGCUGUGGCUGAAGAGCUCAGAUGAAGCUUCACUAAAGGCCCAGGGAUGACAAAGACAAAAAGGCCCAGCCAAUCUGACUCAUGAGAUGUGCUUGCAGUCUGGACACAUGGGCCCCUCCAAGGUGGCAAAGGCCAUCCUAUACUCCUCCCCCAGCCCCUUCUGAAGACAUCCACAACCCAGAAUAUCCAAAUCCCCAGACACCUGGAGAGGAGAGAGUCACCUUUGUCCUAGAAUUCUCUGGUUUUCAUUUUGGAAAUCCUGCUAGCAUCUACUGCUGAAGGCUGUGGCUGGAGAACUCAUGCUGCCGUGAACAUACUGGUCCCAUGCUACCCACUGACCUGUGGAGAGAAAGGCAUCCUAUGGACUGUCAUCCAACAGUCUGGGUACAGAUGAUGGACUGUGUCAGUUUCUUUGUGUUUCCAGAUCCAGGCCUUAAAAGACUAGCAUCUGCCAUGUCCUCUUUUGAGAUACUUGCUCUUGGAACCCAGCUGCCAUGCUGUGAGGAAGCCCAAGCCACCCUGUGGAGAGGCACAUGUGGAGAGAAGCAGCAUCCAACACCAACUUGAAAGCAUGUGAGUGAGUCAUCCUGGAAGUGGAUCCUCCAAUCCAAGCUGAUGCUGCGUGGGGCAGAGACAAGCUGUCCUUGCUGAGCUUUGCCCAUUUUGCAGAUUUGUGAGCAAACUACAUGAUUACUCUUGUUUUAAGUUAGUAACUUUUGCAGUAGUUUGUUUGCAGUGAUGAUAACUGAUGCAUCCCCUGUCCCCCAAAGUGGGGGCCCCAGGCUUACAAGGCAGGAAGUGGGCCAGCUCUUUAUCCCUGAGUGAGGACCUAGGUUAGCACUCAUUCCUUCAACAAGUAUUUAUUGAGUGGCCACCAAGUGCUAGACACUAUACCAGGGGCUGAGGAGUUAGCAGUGAAUGAGAUAGACCCAGCCUGCCUGGUGGUCACAACUCUGGCACACUAAUGAGAGGGCUGUAGCCUCAGUGUGAGGAAGGGGGAGGGAGAACGCCUAGGGGAGAUUAUUUCUAAGCUGAGACCUGACUCCGGAAAAGGAGUUAGCCAUGCAAAAAAGCAGGGAAAGGGCAGAUGGAACACCAUGUGCUAGUUCUGGGGAAGACUGCCAGAUUUGGCAAAUAAAAAAUAAAAAUUUAACACCUGGGGCCGGCCCCGUGGCCAAGUGAUUAAGUUCACGCGUUCUGCUGCGGCGGCCCAGAGUUUC